UUUUCUUUUGGCGUUGCCUUGUAGUUCAAUAAAUGCUCACUUACUUGUGUUUGUGCUAUAUGCAGGUUUCCGGAGGAUUUUAUAUUACGAUUGAUCAGUGAUUUGCUCGUUUGAUUGUGUCGUUGUCAAGCGUGCGUCUUCUCUUUUGUUUGAUCGUGGUGGUGGUCCAUGCACUGUGGGAUUGCUCUUUGAAUCUUAUCUCCUCGUCUUGGUUCGUGUCUUCUAAUUGCUACAUCUUCUAAUGACUUUAUGAGAUUUGCUAUUGUGAGGUAUGAUUUGUUCAGUUUCCA